CACGCCCUAAACGAUGUCAACUAGUUGUCGGGUCUUAACGGACUUGGUAACGCAGCUAACGCGUGAAGUUGACCGCCUGGGGAGUACGGUCGCAAGAUUAAAACUCAAAGGAAUUGACGGGGACCCGCACAAGCGGUGGAUUAUGUGGAUUAAUUCGAUGCAACGCGAAAAACCUUACCUACCCUUGACAUGUAUCGAAGCUCGCUGAAAGGUGAGUGUGCCCGAAAGGGAACGGUAACACAGGUGC
rnacentral:rRNA from 1 species